rnacentral:tRNA from 2 species
GCGGGUGUAGUUUAGUGAUAAAACUACAGCCUUCCAAGCUGUUGUCGCGAGUUCGAUUCUCGUCACCCGCU